UACGAAGGGUGCAACGUUAAUCGGAAUUACUGGGCGUAAAGGGGGCGUAGGCGGUUGUUUAAGUUUGUCGGGAAAUCCCCGGGCUCAACCUGGGAAUGGCGAUGGAUACUGGGCAGCUAGAGUGUGUCAGAGGAUGGUGGAAUUCCCGGUGUAGCGGUGAAAUGCGUAGAGAUCGGGAGGAACAUCAGUGGCGAAGGCGGCCAUCUGGGACAACACUGACGCUGAAGCACGAAAGCGUGGGGAGCAAACAGG
rnacentral:rRNA from 1 species